rnacentral:snoRNA from 1 species
CCCCUCUCAGGGUCACACCUGGAGAGUUUCCGGUACUCUACCAGUCUCGACUAUGGAAGGGAGAGUUAAGCAGAGGCCUACCCAUUCCAUUCCCAGCUUGGCCAGUGGCUAGCGAGUGGAAGGCAAUCUGCUAAAAGU